rnacentral:rRNA from 1 species
GAGCUCGCGGCCUAUCAGCUAGUGGCGAGGUAACGGCUCACCAAGGCGAUGACGGGUAGCUGGUCUGAGAGGAUGGCCAGCCACAUUGGGACUGAGAGACGGCCCAGACUCCUACGGGAGGCAGCAGUGGGGAAUCUUGCGCAAUGGCCGAAAGGCUGACGCAGCGACGCCGCGUGGAGGAUGACGCCCUUCGGGGUGUAAACUCCUGUUGCCCGGGACGAAUGCCUGUUUCGACAGGAGUGACGGUACCGGGUGAGGAAGCACCGGCUAACUCUGUGCCAGCAGCCGCGGUAAUACAGAGGGUGCGAGCGUUGUCCGGAAUCACUGGGCGUAAAGGGCGCGUAGGCGGUCGGGUAAGCGUGUGGUGAAAGUCCGGGGCUCAACCCCGGAUCGGCCAUGCGAACUGUCCGACUGGAGCACGGUAGAGGCACAUGGAAUUCCGGGUGUAGCGGUGGAUGCGUAGAGAUCCGGAAGAACCCCCGGUGCCGACCCCGCG